rnacentral:tRNA from 1 species
UUUAAUGUGGCAGAAUAAUGCAAUAAGUUUAAGCCUUAUAAAUGAAGAACUAUCUUCCAUUAAAA